rnacentral:lncRNA from 1 species
AGCCCCAAGUUUUCCUGCCUAAUCUCAUCCCCCUUCAGAACAAAAGAUAGUAAGACAAGGGUCACUAAAGUAAUUUUCAAGAUUUGCAGGAACGUGAUUACCAGCUUUCACAACUUUCAGUUCCAGGACUCUCACCCCCAGCCCGUCCACCCCCUGGAGCAUUCUUGACAGUGUCCUUUCUCUUGAACCAAAAGUCCCCUGGGUCUUAGGAAAAGCAUAGCCUCACAUAACUAAAGCCACAACAAAGUCAGUCAUUUCCUGGGGCUGGGCCCACCCCAUCCUCCCGUCAGCUACGCAGAUUUCUCCAGAGCUGUGAAACCAGGACUGAGAUAAUAACCAACCAAUGGGAUCCUAGCCCAUCUUGGCACCUUAUUAACUACUCCCUUCUCUUAUGCACGAACCAAUCUGAUCCUCUUCAUCAGAGGGUGCCCCUUUCCAGUUGCUUAGGAUGGACUCCUUUGUCUUCUCUCACUUCCAGUUAAAGCUUUGCCUGUGCAUUCAUAUUGCCAUUUUAGUUUUAAUUGCCACUGUCACAAAAAGCAAGGACCUGCGUGCUAUGAGGUGACAAUGGGAAAGAGUUUCUGCUGCUGGGUGACCACAAGCAGUAGUGAUGCUAUUCUCCAUUGUGAAGGAGGACACUUAAGUAGGGAGGUCCACAAGGCAAGACAGCUGGGAGAAAGCUCCUGCAUAUUUGUCAUCCAGUGUCCCCUGUGUUUCCUGGGACAGAAAGCCAAGAACACAAAACCGAACUGGAGCCAUGGACCUCCCCUAAUGGGGUCCUCAGGAAGGUUUCUGCCCCCUCAGCCGCCACUGCAUAUCUUUGUGCAAAAAUAAUCCCUAAGCAAAAGGGGACCCAACUGGUGCGAGAACAGCUCCCAAGUGGCAAAAAAGAAUUUGAGAAUUCUUCAGCAGUCCCCAAAGGCUCAGAAAAAGAGAUGGAUUCUUAAAGAGGAAAUCCAAUUAGGAGUAAGCAAAGAGAAAGUAGGUUUUCAUUUUCUGGAAUACAAAGAAAAUAUUUACAUACUGGAAAGUAAAUGACAAGAUAGCGAGGAACUUUAGAGCAUCUCCUCAAGCCAUGCAGGAAUGCAAGCAAAGGUUUUAAAACUUCUAUUAAAUUUCUUAUUAAAAUCAUACCCCAACUUCCAUACAUCAGGAAACAUUACUUUUUACCCAUUCUGGUCCUUUAAAAAAAUAUUACUUCCCAUUCAGGCUAUAAGAACUCAUUAUUAACCACGAACCAUGUUAUUAUUUACUUCUCACUGUCAACUUUUUUCAUCUUUUAAAAAGCAAUUUUCAC